GUCCCCUUCGUCUAGAGGCCUAGGACACCACCCUUUCACGGUGGCUACAGGGGUUCGAAUCCCCUAGGAGACGCCA
rnacentral:tRNA from 1 species